rnacentral:rRNA from 1 species
AGUAACGGCGAGUGAAGUGGCAACAGCUCAAAUUUGAAAUCUGGCGGUGUAUUCCGUCCGAGUUGUAGUCUAGAGAAGCAUCAUCCGUGCUGGACCAUGGACAAGUCUCUUGGAACAGAGCGUCAUAGAGGGGGAGAAGCCCGUCCUUGACAUGGACUCCCAGUACUUUGUGUUGUGCUCUCAACGAGUCGAGUUGUUUGGGA